GAUGAACGCUGGCGGCGUGCCUAACACAUGCAAGUCGAACGAAGCAUGACCCUUGAGGCCUUCGGGCGGAAGGGGCCAUGACUUAGUGGCGGACGGGUGAGUAACGCGUGGGUAACCUGCCCUAUACUGGGGGAUAACAGCUAGAAAUGGCUGCUAAUACCGCAUGAGCGCACAGUCCCGCAUGGGACAGUGCGGAAAACUCCGGUGGUAUAGGAUGGACCCGCGUCCGAUCAGCUGGUUGGUGGGGUAACGGCCCACCAAGGCGACGAUCGGUAGCCGACCUGAGAGGGUGACCGGCCACAUUGGGACUGAGACACGGCCCAA
rnacentral:rRNA from 1 species